rnacentral:rRNA from 1 species
CACGAAAGCGUAGGGAGCAAACAGGAUUAGAUACCCUGGUAGUCUACGCUGUAAACGAUGCACACUUGGUGUUAACUAAAAGUUAGUACCGAAGCUAACGUGUUAAGUGUGCCGCCUGGGGAGUAUGCUCGCAAGAAUGAAACUCAAAGGAAUUGACGGGGGCCCGCACAAGCGGUGGAGCAUGUGGUUUAAUUCGAUGAUACGCGAGGAACCUUACCAGGGCUUGACAUAUAUAGGAUAUAGUUAGAGAUAAUUAUUCCCCGUUUGGGGUCUAUAUACAGGUGCUGCAUGGUUGUCGUCAGCUCGUGCUGUGAGGUGUUGGGUUAAGUCCCGCAACGAGCGCAACCCUUGUUGUCUGUUACCAGCAUGUAAUGGUGGGGACUCAGAUAAGACUGCCGGUGAUAAGUCGGAGGAAGGUGAGGAUGACGUCAAAUCAUCAUGGCCCUUAUGUCCUGGGCUACACACGUGCUACAAUGGCCUGUACAAAGCGAGGCGAAACAGUGAUGUGAAGCAAAACGCAUAAAGCAGGUCUCAGUCCGGAUUGAAGUCUGAAACUCGACUUCAUG